CCAGACCCCAUUUGCAAACCUGGCUGACAAGAUCUUUAAGGGAGGUGACAGCAUGUGGCAGAAAAGCCAGGACCAGCUGUUGCUUCCCAACAUCGGGGAGGAGGACCUGAAGCCAUCCAGCUGCCCAGGAAGCUGUCCUACAGAUAGAGAGUGACUUGCUGGACGUGAACCACAUCAUCAAGGACUUUGCAUCUCUGGGGCCAGAACAAGGACAUGCUCUUGGUCCUCACGCCCGCGGAACACAUAGUGACCGAGACCUUCUCAGCCUCGCCCCCACCCCCACCCCAACACAAG